rnacentral:rRNA from 1 species
GAACGCUGGCGGUAUGCUUAACACAUGCAAGUCGAACGGCAGCACAGACUGUAGCAAUACAGUUGGGUGGCGAGUGGCGGACGGGUGAGUAACGCGUAGGAAUCUGCCCUCAAGCGGGGGACAACCCGAGGAAACUCGGGCUAAUACCGCAUAAUCUCGAGAGAGAAAAGUUGGGGCAACCUGACACUUGAGGAGGAGCCUGCGUCCGAUUAGCUAGUUGGUGGGGUAAAAGCCCACCAAGGCGAUGAUCGGUAACUGGUCUGAGAGGAUGACCAGUCACACUGGGACUGAGACACGGCCCAGACUCCUACGGGAGGCAGCAGUGGGGAAUAUUGGACAAUGGGGGCAACCCUGAUCCAGCAAUACCGCGUGUGUGAAGACGGC